GAUGAACGCUGGCGGCGUGCCUAAUACAUGCAAGUCGAGCGAACAGAUAAGGAGCUUGCUCCUUUGACGUUAGCGGCGGACGGGUGAGUAACACGUGGGUAACCUACCUAUAAGACUGGGAUAAUUUCGGGAAACCGGAGCUAAUACCGGAUAACAUUUGGAACCGCAUGGUUCUAAAGUGAAAGAUGGUUUUGCUAUCACUUAUAGAUGGACCCGCGCCGUAUUAGCUAGUUGGUAAGGUAACGGCUUACCAAGGCAACGAUACGUAGCCGACCUGAGAGGGUGAUCGGCCACACUGGAACUGAGACACGGUCCAGACUCCUACGGGAGGCAGCAGUAGGGAAUCUUCCGCAAUGGGCGAAAGCCUGACGGAGCAACGCCGCGUGAGUGAUGAAGGGUUUCGGCUCGUAAAACUCUGUUAUUAGGGAAGAACAAAUGUGUAAGUAACUGUGCACGUCUUGACGGUACCUAAUCAGAAAGCCACGGCUAACUACGUG
rnacentral:rRNA from 1 species